UCCGGUUUGUCACCGGCAGUCUCAUUAGAGUGCCCAACUAAAUGUAGCAACUAAUGACAAGGGUUGCGCUCGUUGCGGGACUUAACCCAACAUCUCACGACACGAGCUGACGACAGCCAUGCAGCACCUGUGUUACGGUUCUCUUUCGAGCACCCCUCCGUCUCUGGAGGGUUCCGUACAUGUCAAAGGUGGGUAAGGUUUUUCGCGUUGCAUCGAAUUAAACCACAUGCUCCACCGCUUGUGCGGGCCCCCGUCAAUUCCUUUGAGUUUCAACCUUGCGGUCGUACUCCCCAGGCGGGGUACUUCCUGCGUUAGCGCCGGCACCCAGAGGGUCGCUCCCCCAGGCACCUAGUACCCAUCGUUUACGGCGUGGACUAC
rnacentral:misc_RNA from 1 species